rnacentral:rRNA from 1 species
GGCCCCUAAUCGGGGUUGCGGACAGUGUCUGGUGGGUAGUUUGACUGGGGCGGUCUCCUCCUAAAGAGUAACGGAGGAGCACGAAGGUUGGCUAAUCCUGGUCGGACAUCAGGAGGUUAGUGCAAUGGCAUAAGCCAGCUUGACUGCGAGCGUGACGGCGCGAGCAGGUGCGAAAGCAGGUCAUAGUGAUCCGGUGGUUCUGAAUGGAAGGGCCAUCGCUCAACGGAUAAAAGGUACUCCGGGGAUAACAGGCUGAUACCGCCCAAGAGUUCAUAUCGACGGCGGUGUUUGGCACCUCGAUGUCGGCUCAUCACAUCCUGGGGCUGAAGUAGGUCCCAAGGGUAUGGCUGUUCGCCAUUUAAAGUGGUACGCGAGCUGGGUUUAGAACGUCGUGAGACAGUUCGGUCCCUAUCUGCCGUGGGCGCUGGAGAACUGAGGGGGGCUGCUCCUAGUACGAGAGGACCGGAGUGGACGCAUCACUGGUGUUCGGGUUGUCAUGCCAAUGGCACUGCCCGGUAGCUAAAUGCGGAAGAGAUAAGUGCUGAAAGCAUCUAAGCACGAAACUUGCCCCGAGAUGAGUUCUCCCUGAGACUUAGAGUCUCCUGAAGGAACGUUGAAGACGACGACGUUGAUAGGCCGGGUGUGUAAGCGCAGCGAUGCGUUGAGCUAACCGGUACUAAUGAACCGUGAGGCUUAACCUU